rnacentral:rRNA from 1 species
GACGAACGCUGGCGGCGUGCCUAACACAUGCAAGUCAACUUGACUGAAGGAGCAAUCUGACAGUAGAGUGGCGCAAGGGUGCGUAACGCGUAAGUAACUUGCCCAAGGUAAGGAAUAACGUCGAGAAAUCGGCGCUAAUACCUCAUAAUGCAGCGGAUCCGCAUGGAUAUGUUGUUAAAGGUUUACCGCCUUGGGAUAGGCUUGCGUCUGAUUAGUUAGUUGGUGUGGUAACGGCACACCAAGGCUACGAUCAGUAACUGGUCUGAGAGGAUGAUCAGUCACACUGGAACUGAGACACGGUCCAGACUCCUACGGGAGGCAGCAGUGAGGAAUAUUGGGCAAUGCUCGAAAGAGUGACCCAGCAACGCCGCGUGGAGGAUGAAGGUAUUCUAUAUCGUAAACUCCUGUGAGAGCAGACGAAAGACAGAUUAUUAAUACUGGAUGACUGUAUGUCUCAGAGGAAGCCCCGGCUAACUACGUG